AAUAUAAGUCUCUGUGUAUUAUUUGGGGCCCUACCUCGGUGGACAGAACUCAGGCAGCUGGCGGAAAGUGCCCCCGUGGCGGUAGGGCUCAGGUGGCUUUUGGCGGAAAGAUUUAUGGUAACAGGUAAUGCAUUGGAGCAGUGUCUAAGAGUUUUAUGUCUUUCGAUCUGCAGUGAGCAUAGAGAGCAAGACAUUGAGCUUGGUGUGGGCUUUCCCAAACUGUUCCACUAACUGGGGAACAAGCAUCCAAACAGCUGGUGGGGGCCGUUCUCAUUCACACUGCAUACCUGGAUGUGCCUUACUACACUUGGCAGGUUGUUUCUAGGAUUCUUACCUAUGGCAGCAUGUAUCAGAGUUUCAUUCAUUUUAAAGCCGAAUAUAUCCUGUUGCAUUUUGUCUUAGUUUCUUUCCUUUUUUUGUGACAAAAUACCUUGACCAAAGCAACAAAGAGCAGAAUGACUUUAUCUGAUUGUAGGGACAUUAGUUAGCAGGAACUUGGAGUAGCUGGUCCAUAGUCAAGAGGAGGGAGGCAAUGCAUGCAUGCAGGCUAAUAUCAGCUAAGUAGCCCCAUUUCCUGCAGUCCAGGAGCCAAAGCCCACAAACAGUUACACACACAGUGGGUUGAUUUUCCUGCAUCAAUGAAGAGAAUUAAGAUAACCUCUAACACAUUCUUACAGGUCCUGAUUCUACGUUGGGUCAAAGUGACAAUUAGAAGUUAACCAUUUUCCAUUAUUUUUGUCAAUGCAAGAGUUCAAACUUCUCCACAGACUUGCCUGAAUCAAAUUCCACUCUUUCUAUUUAAAUAUUAAUUAUUGCAAUGCGUGUUUUUCUCCCAUGUAAAAGUCAUUUUUCUUUCCAAAAUAUGUUGGAAAAAUGAAUUAUCUGCUCAUUUAAGUUAUCCAGCAUUCAUCAAAAUAAAGAUUAAAGCACUAUUUAAAAAACAUUUUUUUAUUUAAAAGUUUUUUUCAUUUUACAUGCCAACCUCAGUUCCCCCUCCUUCCCAUUCUCUGUCCCCAUCUCCUCCUUUCCCACACCCUGUCCACUCUUCAGAGGGGGUAAGGCCUUUCUUGGACAGUCAACAAAGUCUGGCAUACCAACUUGAGGCAGGGCCAAGCCCCCUCCUUGUAUCAAGUCUGAGCAGGGUAUCCCACCUUAGAGAGUUGGCUACAAAAAGCCAGUUCAUGCACCUGGGAUAGGUUCUGGUCCCACAUGAUCAAGCCACAUAACUGUCACCCACAUUCAGAGGGCCUAGUUCAGUCCCAUGCAGGUUCCCCAGCUGUCAUUCCAUAGUCCAUGAGCUCUCACUAGCUUGGGUCAGCAAAAACAAACAGACAUAACACAAAAACAAAAACAAACAUUUUCUGUUUUCUAUGUAUGUUGUAACUUUAAAACAUAACCUCGGUGAGAACGGGGAGGACUACACAGUCCCAUUUUUCUUCUCCAAAAAAUACAUAAAAUUUGAUGAUACAAUGUUAUCUAUAGAGACUUAAGAGUUUCUGAAUGUAACAAAUACAAAUAAUGUUAUUUUCCUUUAUCAUUUCCCUUUUCACCUUCAUUUUUCUUACAUCCACAACCUAAUGAAGUAUCAGAGUUUACAAAAGAAACCCUGGCCAUAAAAGUGAUUCACAAGAUGUCUGCUGCCUGAUGACCCAAGUUCAGCUCCUGGAAGCCACAUGGGAGAAGGAAAGAAUCAACUUGUGUGCUUUUAACUGUUUGAAGCAAUAGACAACAUGAGCUGUGUCUGUUUCACCUGGGACGCAGUGAAGGCACGGAGAGUGACCAUUUGCUACCAGAAUUACUGGCUCAAAAAAUCAGAACGUGUUAAAUUUUGAGACUUGUCAGUAAUGUGUGACUCAUUUUCUCUGAGUCUUGGUAACACUGUGAUGUAAAAAUUAUUCAUCCAUGCUGUUUUUUGAUGACAGAGGAAAGUCAAGUUUAACUUUUGUGAGUAGGAAACUGAGAAUUUUUCAAUGUUUAGGGUGUUCUACAUUUUUGUCAGUAGCUACUGCUUUGUGUUUUUAUUGAAUUACUGGCCCUUUGUUUAUGAUUUUUAAGUACUGUUUAUUAAAUAUGGGAAUAAGAGAUUCCUCUGUUAGCUAGAUUUAUCUCUUCUCUAGUUUGUCUAUCAUCUAUCAUUAUAAAUGUGUAGUCACAUUGAUCAAUCUCUACAUGGCAUCUGGUUAGACUUUCCCCAUUUGUUAAUCAUCAUUGUUGGAUAACAUUUUUUCUAAUAUUUUUGCAGUAAUAUUUCUACUUUAGAGUCAUUUAUUUCUUGGUGUUUGGUAUAAAGAAUAAUCAACUCUAACUUUUUUUUUCUAAAUUGUUAGUCUGGUGGUCAGAAUACUAUAUGUUUAAUUCUUCCCACUUUUCUAAGGAAGUCAUUAACAGUUACACUAAUUUUUCAAAUUUUGUUCCAUCACUUGGUCUUUUACUAAUGUUAUCUAUGUAUAUUUUGGAUCUCAUAGGCCAUCUUCUUCCCAUAGAGUUAAGGAUUAGGGCUCUAAAACUACAAAGUCUGGGUUAGAAUCCUGGUUUAUCCUCAUACUGUGAGACUUUGGACAAGUAAUUUAAAUCUUUCUGUGUCUCCAUGACUUAUUGUAACUAGGAUAAUAAUUUCCCCAUAGAGAUGUCAGGAGUCAUACCUGAUAUAGUUCGUAUAGAAUGUUUAUAAUCAUGCCUGGUGAAUGGUAAAUGUUGAAUAAACAUUGUUUAUCUCUUGCAAACA